GGGCGCAAGCGUUAUCCGGAAUUAUUGGGCGUAAAGAGCUCGUAGGCGGUUUGUCGCGUCUGCCGUGAAAGUCCGGGGCUCAACUCCGGAUCUGCGGUGGGUACGGGCAGACUAGAGUGAUGUAGGGGAGACUGGAAUUCCUGGUGUAGCGGUGAAAUGCGCAGAUAUCAGGAGGAACACCGAUGGCGAAGGCAGGUCUCUGGGCAUUAACUGACGCUGAGGAGCGAAAGCAUGGGGAGCGA
rnacentral:rRNA from 1 species